UUCGUACGUAGCAGAGCAGCUCCCUCGC
rnacentral:piRNA from 6 species